CUUCCUCACAUAAUCAAUCCGCCGUUAUCCCCUCUCCGUAAUGAUCUGCAAACAGUUGUUCCUCUUCUCAUCUCUACACUUCACAUGUCCGUAUCUCUUCAUCUCCCUUGAGGAUCGAUGUCUCGCUUUUAAUUCGUGAGUAAUUGUUACUCACAUUAACCCCAGUUACGAUGUCGACGCUUCCGUUUCCUUCGCUUUUGAUCUAUAUAUCAGCGUCUUGAGAGGAUGAUUAACUUCAUUGUUACCGUUACGACCCGAGCUGUUGUUCGUUUCCUCAUUGAACCGAGGGUCGUCGUUUACCUAUCUUUGUGGGAUGAUGUUGCAUCAAUGUUUAGAGGACUCAUCAGCUCAGGUGAUAGGACACAGACAGUGAUGGUGGUCACUACUGUGAAUCCCAAAAUAUUUGGAGCUUAGAAGGACCAGUCCGACAAGCUUUUCCUUGUAUCGAUACCAAAGAAGGGAUAAAAAAAAGGAAGUCGUCUGAUUAGGAAAGCUAAACAAGUUCAUUUCCAAUUCUAACGAGCAGACACUUGAAGCUGAAUUUAUUUGCAAGGCUUGGGUUGUUGAUGUCCUGCAACAAAAUGGGUGGUAUUUCGUCUCUUGCACUGGCUGCAGCAGGAAGCUAGACAAAGAUGGGACUUCUCUCCGUUGCAUCCGUUGUGUUAAUCCCAACGCAACUGGCGCCAUCAAGUAUCGCGUUGAACUUUUAGUUGAUGAUGGAAAUGAUAAUGCCACUUUUGUGGUGUUCGACAGGGAAAUGCUUAAACUAACUAAGCAAGACGCAGCUGGCCUAAAUCUCGAUGAGAUAAAUGGUGGUGGCAGCAUGGAACUCCCACAAUGCCUUAAAACCUUGGUGGACAAGAUUUUGUCUUCCAGAUACGUGUGACACCAUUCAAUUUUAGCCCAAGCCACCGUACUUUCACAGUUUCCGCAAUCAUUAACACCAUCGGCCCCGAGACUUUCAAAACCAAUGCAGCUGAAUUUGUUCCGGUGGAAGGUGGUGAAGCAUCGGCUACGGGCAGCAACAUGACUGGAGGUGAAGAGAAAGAACCAAAUCCAUCCGAUGCUGGAGGCAAAGGGAGUAGCCGUAAACGUCCCCGUGAGUGAAGUUACAAAGCCGUCGCAACGUCAACCCACUUCUGCUUUCUUUUCUUUCCAUUUCGUUACGUAGUAUGCUUUUUUAUUUUCGGACUUUGCAUGAGUUUUCAUAUUUGAAGGGUUUUGUUUUAUUAAGACACUUAUGAUUUGGAUAUUUAUCAAAAAUGGG